rnacentral:rRNA from 1 species
UUAAGCGACUAAGCGUACACGGUGGAUGCCCUGGCAGUCAGAGGCGAUGAAGGACGUGCUAAUCUGCGAAAAGCGUCGGUAAGGUGAUAUGAACCGUUAUAACCGGCGAUGUCCGAAUGGGGAAACCCAGUGCAAUUCGUUGCACUAUCGUUAACUGAAUACAUAGGUUAACGAGGCGAACCGGGGGAACUGAAACAUCUAAGUACCCCGAGGAAAAGAAAUCAACCGAGAUUCCCCCAGUAGCGGCGAGCGAACGGGGAGCAGCCCAGAGUCUGAAUCAGCUUGUGUGUUAGUGGAACGGUCUGGAAAGUCCGACGGUACAGGGUGAUAGUCCCGUACACCAAAAUGCACAGGCUGUGAACUCGAAGAGUAGGGCGGGACACGUGGUAUCCUGUCUGAAUAUGGGGGGACCAUCCUCCAAGGCUAAAUACUCCUGACUGACCGAUAGUGAACCAGUACCGUGAGGGAAAGGCGAAAAGAACCCCGGCGAGGGGAGUGAAAAAGAACCUGAAACCGUGUACGUACAAGCAGUGGGAGCACCUUCGGGUGUGACUGCGUACCUUUUGUAUAAUGGGUCAGCGACUUAUAUUCUGUAGCAAGGUUAACCGUAUAGGGGAGCCGCAGGGAAACCGAGUCUUAACUGGGCGUUAAGUUGCAGGGUAUAGACCCGAAACCCGGUGAUCUAGCCAUGGGCAGGUUGAAGGUUGGGUAACACUAACUGGAGGACCGAACCGACUAAUGUUGAAAAAUUAGCGGAUGACUUGUGGCUGGGGGUGAAAGGCCAAUCAAACCGGGAGAUAGCUGGUUCUCCCCGAAAGCUAUUUAGGUAGCGCCUCGUGAACUCAUCUUCGGGGGUAGAGCACUGUUUCGGCUAGGGGGUCAUCCCGACUUACCAACCCGAUGCAAACUACGAAUACCGAAGAAUGUUAUCACGGGAGACACACGGCGGGUGCUAACGUCCGUCGUGAAGAGGGAAACAACCCAGACCGCCAGCUAAGGUCCCAAAGUCAUGGUUAAGUGGGAAACGAUGUGGGAAGGCACAGACAGCCAGGAUGUUGGCUUAGAAGCAGCCAUCAUUUAAAGAAAGCGUAAUAGCUCACUGGUCGAGUCGGCCUGCGCGGAAGAUGUAACGGGGCUAAACCAUGCACCGAAGCUGCGGCAGCGACACUAUGUGUUGUUGGGUAGGGGAGCGUUCUGUAAGCCUGCGAAGGUGUGCUGUGAGGCAUGCUGGAGGUAUCAGAAGUGCGAAUGCUGACAUAAGUAACGAUAAAGCGGGUGAAAAGCCCGCUCGCCGGAAGACCAAGGGUUCCUGUCCAACGUUAAUCGGGGCAGGGUGAGUCGACCCCUAAGGCGAGGCCGAAAGGCGUAGUCGAUGGGAAACAGGUUAAUAUUCCUGUACUUGGUGUUACUGCGAAGGGGGGACGGAGAAGGCUAUGUUAGCCGGGCGACGGUUGUCCCGGUUUAAGCAUGUAGGCUGGUUAUCCAGGCAAAUCCGGAUAACCAAGGCUGAGGUGUGAUGACGAGGCACUACGGUGCUGAAGUAACAAAUGCCCUGCUUCCAGGAAAAGCCUCUAAGCAUCAGGUAACAUCAAAUCGUACCCCAAACCGACACAGGUGGUCAGGUAGAGAAUACCAAGGCGCUUGAGAGAACUCGGGUGAAGGAACUAGGCAAAAUGGUGCCGUAACUUCGGGAGAAGGCACGCUGGUGUGUAGGUGAAGUCCCUGCGGAUGGAGCUGAGACCAGUCGAAGAUACCAGCUGGCUGCAACUGUUUAUUAAAAACACAGCACUGUGCAAACACGAAAGUGGACGUAUACGGUGUGACGCCUGCCCGGUGCCGGAAGGUUAAUUGAUGGGGUUAUCCGUAAGGAGAAGCUCUUGAUCGAAGCCCCGGUAAACGGCGGCCGUAACUAUAACGGUCCUAAGGUAGCGAAAUUCCUUGUCGGGUAAGUUCCGACCUGCACGAAUGGCGUAAUGA